rnacentral:lncRNA from 13 species
GCGGGAUGGGAGGGUGGAUGGGAAUAAGAAUGGGUUGGGGAAUGGGGACAGAAUGGGGGACUCGGAGCCCUCUCCUAAGAUCCUGAAGUUAAUUCCUGGCCGAGCCUACCCCCACCAGUCUUGCAUUGACCACGCCAAACCCUUUGAGUCCCGAGUCCCCUGUGGCUUAAACGGCACUCUGACUGGUCCCCUCCCCCACACAGAAGUCCACCCACGGGUGGCCCAGGGCAGCCAGCAGGAGUGCGUCUCGCCUUGCUUCCUAACAGAGCCUUGCCCGCUUCUCUCCGUCAACCCCGAGCUGCUGGUCGGACCAAGAACCACGCUUCUCUCUAAUCCACCCUCCAUGCGCAAGUCAGUGGCGUCACAUCCGGGCACCUGGGUGGAACCGGAUGCUGCGUGGUUGCGGGUGGGGGAAUGGGAUUAUGACGUUGGUAGGGGCUGGAGAGAAUGGGGUUACUGGUGCGGGAUGGGAGGGUGGAUGGGAAUAAAAAUGGGUUGGGGAAUGGAGACGGAAUGGGGGACUCAGAGCCCUCUCCUGGGAUCCUGCAGUUAAUUCAUGGCAGAGCCUAUCCCCACCAAUCUUGCACUGACUACGCCAAGCCCUUUGAGUCCCGAGACCCCUGUGACUCCAACCACAGUGGCCGUGGUGCCCAUCCCCCACUCAGAAGUCCAGCCACGGGUGGCCCAGAGCUGGCAGCAGAGUUGUAAUGGAUUAUUUGGCGUCAUCUAUCUCGCGUGGGGAGCUCCUGAGUCCUCCCUCAGCGUCUCAGCAUUCCUCCUAACAGUGCCUUGCCCGCUUGCCUCCCCCAAUCCCGAGCUGCUGGUCAGACCAAGAACCGCGCUUCUCUCUAACCCGCCGCCCAUGCGCAAGUCAGUGGCGUCACAUCUGGGCGUGACUGGGUGGAACCGGAUCCGGCGUGGUUGGGGGUGGGGGUAUUGGGGUGGCGGAAUGGGUUUAUGAGGUUGGUAGGAGCUUGAGAGAAUGGGGGUAUUGGUGCGGGAUGGGAGGGUGGAUGGGAAUAAGAAUGGGUUGGAGAAAGGGGAUGGGAAUGGGGGACUCAGAGCCCUCUCCUGGGAUCCCCACGUUAAUUCCUGGCACAGCCUACCCCACCAGUCUUGCAUUGACCACGCCAAGUUCUUUGAGUCCCGAGUCCCCUGUGGCUUCAACGGCAGUAGGGGUGGUGCCCCUCCCCCACUAAGCAGUCCACCCACGGGUGGCCGAGGGCUGGCAGCCGGAGUGGUAAGAGAUUAUUUGGAGUCGUCUACCAGGGAAGGGGACCUCCUGCGUCCUCCCUCUACGUCUCAACUUACCUCCUAACAGAGCGUUGCCCGCCUCUCUCCGUCAAUCCCAAACCGCUGGUCGGACCAAGAACUGCGCUUCUCUCUAACCCGCCCCCACGCGAAAGUCAGUGGCGUCACAUCCGGGCACCUGGGUGGAACCGGAUGCUGCGUGGUUGGGGAUGGGGGAAUGGGAUUAUGACGUUGGUAGGGGCUGGAGAGAAUGGGGGUACUGGUGCGGGAUGGGAGGGUGGAUGGGAAUAAAAAUGGGUUGGGGAAUGGGGACGGAAUGGGG